rnacentral:rRNA from 1 species
UACGAAGGGUGCAAGCGUUAUCCGGAUUCACUGGGUUUAAAGGGUGCGUAGGCGGGUUGGUAAGUCCGUGGUGAAAUCUCCGAGCUUAACUCGGAAACUGCCGUGGAUACUAUCAAUCUUGAAUAUCGUGGAGGUAAGCGGAAUAUGUCAUGUAGCGGUGAAAUGCUUAGAGAUGACAUAGAACACCAAUUGCGUAGGCAGCUUACUACACGAUCAUUGACGCUGAGGCACGAAAGCGUGGGGAGCAAACAGG